rnacentral:ncRNA from 1 species
UCCAAGCAUCAGGAGUGGCCUUGCGAAAGCGGGGUCCGGCAACCUGGUUUGGAGAAGCCAAGGUGCCUUGGAUGCUGUGACAGAAUUCUGUUACGGUGACCGAUGUGCGAAUGUUUACAUUCGAACAGAAUUUCUCUCGGG